UUUGUAGGGGGUGUAACGUACCCUCUAGCCAUCAACGCGUACGGGUGUUGGGAGACAUAGCCCGGAGAUGGAUUCUGAGACACGAAUCCAGACCCUACGGGGUGCAGCAGGCGCGAAAACUUGGCAAUGCGAGCAAUCGUGACCAGGGAACUCCAAGUGGCUGGGGUAAUACCCAGUUUUUUCUUGACUCUUCAAAGGUCUUGGAAUAAGGGGUGGGUAAGGACGGUGCCAGCCGCCGCGGUAAUACCGGCGCCUCAAGUGGUAGUCGCUUUUAUUGGGCCUAAAACGUCCGUAGCCGGUCUGGUGCAUUCGUGGGUAAAUCAACCCGCUCAACGGGUUGAAUUCUGCGAGCACGGCCAGACUUGGGACCGGGAGAGGUGUGGGGUACUCUCAGGGUAGGGGUAAAAUCCUGUCAUCCUGAGAGGACCACCUGUUGCGAAGGCGCCACACUAGAACGGAUUCGACGGUCAGGGACGAAACCUAGGGGCACGAACCGGAUUAGAUACCCGGGUAGUCCUAGGUGUAAACGCUGUGGACUUGAUGUUGGGGGUGCUCCGAGCACUCUCAGUGUCGAAGCGAAGGUGAUAAGUCCACUGCCUGGGGAGUACGGUCGCAAGGCUGAAACUUAAAGGAAUUGGCGGGGGAGCACUGCAACCUGAGGAUUGUGCGGUUUAAUUGGACUCAACGCCGGGA
rnacentral:rRNA from 1 species